rnacentral:rRNA from 1 species
ACUCAAAUGAAUUGACGGGGGCCCGCACAAGCGGUGGAGCAUGUGGUUUAAUUCGACGCAACGCGCAGAACCUUACCCAGACUUGACAUCCUCGGAAUCCUUCAGAGAUGAGGGAGUGCCCGCAAGGGAGCCGGGAGACAGGUGCUGCAUGGCUGUCGUCAGCUCGUGUCGUGAGAUGUUGGGUUAAGUCCCGCAACGAGCGCAACCCUCGCCUUUAGUUGCCAUCAUUCAGUUGGGCACUCUAGAGGGACUGCCGGUGUCAAGCCGGAGGAAGGUGGGGAUGACGUCAAGUCCUCAUGGCCUUUAUGUCUGGGGCUACACACGUGCUACAAUGGUCGGUACAGAGGGUAGCGAAGGCGCGAGCCGGAGCCAAUCCCAGAAAACCGACCCCAGUUCAGAUCGAAGUCUGCAACUCGACUUCGUGAAGGCGGAAUCGCUAGUAAUCGCGGAUCAGAACGCCGCGGUGAAUACGUUCCCGGGCCUUGUACACACCGCCCGU